rnacentral:sRNA from 1 species
GAAGAUGCAGGAGACGCUGGUUGGCUUGGAGCUGGAGAACGAGAGGCUGCUGGCCAAGCUGCAAAGCUGGGAGAGACUGGACCAGACCAUGGGCCUGAGCAUCAGUUGCUGGUGAUGUAUGGGCGGAGCCUCCAGUGCUCUUGGCUGCUGUGACAGGGCCCCCCUGGGGUCCUGCACUAUCCCAGCGAGACCCCCAAAGCAAGGCCAGCAGAGAGCUUCCUGACAGCUGCCUCACUUUGGCGACGGCCCUGGCUGGGGUGCAGCCUGUGCCCCUCUCCGCCCCCUUGUGAAGUUUCGGAUGGGCGUUCCCAGCAGCGCUGACAGGCUCACGCCGCCCUUGGGCUUCAUUCCAGGUGCAGAGCUCUGAUCUCCCACGAUCAGAAGUACCGUGUGCGUGUCUUACCUGGGCAGAAUGCAGAGACCUUCACUGGCAGCUGUGCGUGGACCCUGGGGCUCUGUUACACAGCCAGGUGCUGAGGAGCAGGGCUCCGAGCCAGGCCAGCGAACCUUCCUUAGACCCCCUGUGUGCAGGCCUGGUGCCUGGUGUUGGGGGCCCAGUGGAGAACAAGAUCAGGCUGUUGCCAUGGGACUUUCGUGUGGUGGGGAGUCCUGAGGAGGAUGUGGAUGAGGUGGAGAAGAGGUUC